rnacentral:lncRNA from 1 species
UGCUGGACGAAGUACAGACUGCUGGUACGCACGGUAGCCAUGCAUAGCAGCAGGUGAACUCCCCAUAGCUUAAGCCAGCAGCGUGAGAAGUUACGCAAUAUUGAACCUUCCCCACAGCAGGGCUCUUCUCCCAUCUUCCCCACAGGUCUUGAACCAAAAGACUUCCUGACCGACUUAGUAGUCCAAGAAGGAUCAGAAAUUUUGUUAACUUCUAGCUGUAUUGUAGAAAGAGGGAAAGAAUUAUUUAUAUUUUAUCAUAUCUAAGCUGAAUACAUUCCUUAGUGCUUAUUACUUUGUCAUAACUAUAUAUAUACAUACAUUUAUUUAUUUACACACACGCGCGUGUGUGUUUAUAUAUUUAUAUGUGUGUAUGUACAUAUUUAUGCCAAAGUAAUAAACAUGUGUGUAUGUGUGUGUGUGUAUGUGUGGGGAUGUAUAUGGAUGUAUGUGUAUGUGUAUGUAUUUUUGUGUAUGUGUGUGUAUGUGUGUGUGUAUUGUGUGUGUGUGUGUGUGUGUGUGUGUGUGUGUCCGUCCUGGGGUCCAAGCCGAAGAGGCAUGGGCUAGGAAUUUAGCUCAGCAGUAAAUUGCUUGCUGAGAAUACAGAAGACCCCAAGUUUGAUCCGAAGCACCAUGAGUAGAAAGUGACCUUCAACACAAAUAGCUGCAGCAACCGCACCCAAAGGACACUGGAUUCUACCUCAAAGAACUGCACAAUUCUCAUUAUAUCUGUGGUACACGGUGUGCUAUAUCAAAC